AUUGAACGCUGGCGGCAGGCCUAACACAUGCAAGUCGAGCGGAUGACGGGAGCUUGCUCCUUGAUUCAGCGGCGGACGGGUGAGUAAUGCCUAGGAAUCUGCCUGGUAGUGGGGGACAACGUUUCGAAAGGAACGCUAAUACCGCAUACGUCCUACGGGAGAAAGCAGGGGACCUUCGGGCCUUGCGCUAUCAGAUGAGCCUAGGUCGGAUUAGCUAGUAGGUGAGGUAAUGGCUCACCUAGGCGACGAUCCGUAACUGGUCUGAGAGGAUGAGCAGUUACACUGGAACUGAGACACGGUCCAGACGCCUACGGGAGGCAGCAGUGGGGAAUAUUGGACAAUGGGCGAAAGCCUGAUCCAGCCAUGCCGCGUGUGUGAAGAAGGUCUUCGGAUUGUAAAGCACUUUAAGUUGGGAGGAAGGGCAGUAAGCGAAUACCUUGCUGUUUUGACGUUACCGACAGAAUAAGCACCGGCUAACUCUGUGCCAGCCGCCGCAGUAAAAC
rnacentral:rRNA from 1 species